rnacentral:rRNA from 1 species
GAUGAACGCUGGCGGCGUGCCUAAUACAUGCAAGUCGAGCGAACGGACGAGAAGCUUGCUUCUCUGAUGUUAGCGGCGGACGGGUGAGUAACACGUGGAUAACCUACCUAUAAGACUGGGAUAACUUCGGGAAACCGGAGCUAAUACCGGAUGAUAUUUUGAACCGCAUGGUUCAAAAGUGAAAGACGGUCUUGCUGUCACUUAUAGAUGGAUCCGCGCUGCAUUAGCUAGUUGGUAAGGUAACGGCUUACCAAGGCAACGAUGCAUAGCCGACCUGAGAGGGUGAUCGGCCACACUGGAACUGAGACACGGUCCAGACUCCUACGGGAGGCAGCAGUAGGGAAUCUUCCGCAAUGGGCGAAAGCCUGACGGAGCAACGCCGCGUGAGUGAUGAAGGUGUUCGGAUCGUAAAACUCUGUUAUUAGGGAAGAACAUAUGUGUAAGUAACUGUGCACAUCUUGACGGUACCUAAUCAGAAAGCCACGGCUAACUACGUG